rnacentral:rRNA from 1 species
AGGUGGGGAUCUUCGGACCUGCCGGUCUGGGAGCGGCCCAUGUACUAUCAGCUUGUUGGUGGGGUAAAGGCCUACCAAGGCGCCGACGGGUAGCGGGACUGAGAGGUUGGCCCGCCACAUCGGGACUGAGACACUGCCCGGACACCUACGGGUGGCUGCAGUAACGAAUAUUGGGCAAUGGGCGCAAGCCUGACCCAGCAAUGCCGCGUGCAGGAGGAAGCCCUUCGGGGUGUAAACUGCUGUCAGGGGCUAGCAAACAAUGGGCGUUAAUAGCGUCCGGCGUAGAGCCGCCCCAAAGGAAGCCUCGACUAACUACUGUGCCAGCAGUCGCGGUAAGACAGAGGAGGCAAGCGUUGUACGGAAUCAUUGGGCUUAAAGCGGGUGUAGGCGGCUAGGCCAGUGUCGUGUGAAAUCCAACGGAUCAAACGUUGAACUGCACGGCAAACUGCCUGGCUUGGGGUCGGUAGAGGUGCCUGGAACUCUUGGUGCAGCGGUGCCCUGCGUAGAUAUCAAGAGGACACGCCAGAGGCGAAAGCGGGGCACUGGGCCGAUUCUGACGCUGAGAUCCGAAGGCGUGGGGAGCACCCCGGGAUUAGAUACCCUGGUAAUCCACGCCGUAAACGAUGCGCACUAGACGUCGGAGGUUCUGACACCGUCGGCGUCGCAGCAAAAUUACUAAGUUUGCCGCCUGGGGAGUACGCCCGCAAGGCUUAAACUCAAAGGAAUUGACGGGGGCUCACACAAGCGGUGGAGCAUGUGGCUUAAUUCGAAGCAACGCGAAGAACCUUACCCGGGUUUGACAUGCUUGGAUGCCUCCUGGGGAUAACUCAGGUCGGCUGCCCUUCGGGGUGAAACUUGCACAGGUGUUGCAUGGCUGUCGUCAGCUCGUGCUGUGAAGUGUCGGGUUAAGUCCCUUAACGAGCGAAACCCCUAUCGCUAGUUGCCAGCGGGUCAUGCCGGGGACUCUAGCGAGACUGCCGGCGUUAAGCCGGAGGAAGGUGGGGACGACGUCAAGUCAUCAUGGCCUUUAUGCCCGGGGAUGCACACGUGCUACAAUGGCGCGUACAGAGCGAGGCAAGACCGCGAGGUGGAGCAAAUCGCAAAAAACGCGCCCCAGUUCGGAUUGGAGUCUGCAAUUCGACUCCAUGAAGUUGGAAUCGCUAGUAAUCGCGUAUCAGCCACGACGCGGUGAAUGUGUUCCUGAGCCUUGUACACACCGCCCGUCAAGUCAUGGAAGCUGGUAGUACCCGAAGUCCG